AAAUCGAGGAGUACAUUCGGAACACCAAAAUUGCGUCGUCGACGUUUGGUCGAUCUUUUCUGGAAGCAACAAAUGCAGCCACAUCUCAUGGAAUUACAAAUUUGCCCAAUCAGAUUUCCGUUCAAUUUCUUCUUAUCAGUUGGCAUCUACUGAAUCUCCUGGUGGGAGCUGGUUACACGACGAUAUACACUUCGCGUUUAACGAAACCUGGCUAUACAAAACCAGUUGAUACUUUUGAGGACUUUGCUGAGCAAGGAAUUUCCUGGAUAACGAGACACGAGUACGACUCAAUAACGGACUCGUUGAAGGACUCGACAAGACCAGC